CAAUAGCGUAUAUUAAAGUUGUUGCAGUUAAAAAGCUCGUAGUUGGAGUUCAGAGUGAGCUCGUCCGGUCGGCCUUAUGGGUCAGAACUGGUUGACUCUCUCUUGUUUGUGGAUCCUGUCAGCAGUUAACUCUGUUGAUGUGGAGUCCACAUCGUUUACCUUGAAAAAUUAGAGUGUUCAAAGCAGGCGUUUGCUUGAAUAUAUUAGCAUGGAAUAAUAAGAUAGGACUUCGGUGCUAUUUUGUUGGUUUGCGCACAGAGGUAAUGAUGAACAGGGACAGUUGGGGGUAUUUGUAUUUCGUUGUCAGAGGUGAAAUUCUUAGAUUUACGAAAGACAAACUACUGCGAAAGCAUUUACCAAGGAUGUUUUCAUUAAUCAAGAACGAAAGUUAGGGGAUCGAAGAUGAUUAGAUACCGU
rnacentral:rRNA from 1 species